rnacentral:pre_miRNA from 1 species
UCUUCAUUUCACGUGAUCUCUCACCGGUCAGAGUGACGAGGGAGUGCGUAAAAUGAAGAGA